CACGUCAGCGCGCUUUGCUGACGUGGACACAAAUCGCUCUGACGUGGAUGCGAUUUGUGUCCAUGUCAGCAAAGCGCGCUGACGUGG
rfam:Gossypium hirsutum cultivar TM-1 chromosome 7, whole genome shotgun sequence